rnacentral:rRNA from 1 species
UACGGGGGGAGCAAGCGUUGUUCGGAUUUACUGGGCGUAAAGGGCGCGUAGGCGGCGCAACAAGUCACUUGUGAAAUCUCCGGGCUUAACCCGGAGCGGCCAAGUGAUACUGUCGUGCUAGAGUGCGGAAGGGGCUACUGGAAUUCUCGGUGUAGCGGUGAAAUGCGUAGAUAUCGGAAGGAACACCAGUGGCGAAAGCGGCUUCCUGGUCCAGCACCGACGUUCAGGCACGAAAGCGUGGGGAGCAAACAGG